rnacentral:tRNA from 1 species
UCCGAAUUGGUGUAGUGGCUAACAUUUGACGCUCUCAAUUAAUCGAUCUCGAUUAAUACGGAACCGUCAAGCCCGGGGUUCGAUUCCCCGAUUCGGAG